AGAACAUCCUGAUAAGAUCGUGAUUAUGAAAGGGUGCCCCGAUUGUAUCCGUUUCGAAAUGCUUGGAAAAGGGCUACUUCGUCGAUACAACAAAAUCUUAAUACAUUGUGGCACACCCACUACUCUAUACAAGCUGGUACACUAUUGCCACAGUUCAUUGUGGACAAUUGCAUGACAAUAGAAGGAAGAAGCUUUCAUUAUAUCGGUUGAUCUUUUUUUUGGAUUGACGGAUGCUAUUGCCUGAUCUAAUUGUUCAAUGGUAGGAUAUUCCUAUUAUCUUACCUUCGCAUCGCACUGGGGAACCGUGAUAUAGGAUACACAAUUGGAAGAUGCAAUGGUUAUUUGUAGGUGCGGUGGCUUUUGGACUGUUCCUUUCACGUGAGAUUGCUAUUUUUAAUUACACAAGUUUAUUUUCCUUUUUUGUUUUGUUUUCCAAAUUUUUAACCUUCUUUAGUACUUUAACUGUUCCAGUGUAGCUUCUUUGUUGAACCUAUUAAUGAGUUUUUGGGGAAAAAAUAAGAGAUAUAUCACGAUCGUUUAGUCUAUGCAACCUAUUUGUCUUCUUUUC